GAUGAACGCUAGCGGCAGGCUUAAUACAUGCAAGUCGUGGGGCAGCGCAGUGUAGCAAUACAUGGGCGGCGACCGGCAAACGGGUGCGGAACACGUACACAACCUUCCUUCAAAUGGGGAAUAGCCCAGGGAAACUUGGAUUAAUACCCCGUAACAUUAUGAAGUGGCAUCACUUUAUAAUUAUAGCUCCGGCGUUUGGAGAUGGGUGUGCGGCUGAUUAGGUAGUUGGCGGGGAACGGCCCACCAAGCCUUCGAUCAGUAACUGGUGUGAGAGCACGACCAGUCACACGGGCACUGAGAC
rnacentral:rRNA from 1 species